UUGCAUAAUAUGUACAUGACUAUUAUUUUAUAAACCACUAUAAUUUUAAUUCGUGUUUUUACUGUUGGUUAUGGUAUUAGUUAUAAAAUGAAGUAGCAAUAAUGUAGCAUACCUAAUAAAAAAAUCUUUAUUAUAACAAGAAAGAAACUGACUUAGGCUAUAUGUUGAUAACAAUAGCAAUUGCUUCCCUGCGUAUCAUCAUUACUACUGCCUAUAUCGUACCUAUAUUUUGAGUUUUCUGUGGAGAACGAAUGGCUCAAGUUAAUGAAGCUAAUGAAAUAUCAAAAACCUACCAA
rnacentral:lncRNA from 1 species